UAUAUUAUUUUAUUUGAAAUAUUUUAAAUCAUUAAAUUUUAAUGUACAAUAGGCAAUAAUAAAAGUGAUAGUGUAUCGUACAAUAGUUAAUUCGAAACAAAAAAUUCAUGAUUUAAUUGAUACAAAGAAUUCAUGAUUUAGUGAAUUGAAGCAAAAUAAGGAUCAAAUUCGAAGUAUAACAAACUAAAUCUUUCAAA